rnacentral:rRNA from 1 species
AGUGAACGCUGGCGGUAGGCCUAACACAUGCAAGUCGAACGGCAGCACAGUAAGAGCUUGCUCUUACGGGUGGCGAGUGGCGGACGGGUGAGGAAUACAUCGGAAUCUACUUUUUCGUGGGGGAUAACGUAGGGAAACUUACGCUAAUACCGCAUACGACCUACGGGUGAAAGCAGGGGAUCUUCGGACCUUGCGCGAUUGAAUGAGCCGAUGUCGCGUUAGCUAGUUGGCGGGGUAACGGCCCACCAAGGCGACGAUCCGUAGCUGGUCUGAGAGGAUGAUCAGCCACACUGGAACUGAGACACGGUCCAGACUCCUACGGGAGGCAGCAGUGGGGAAUAUUGGACAAUGGGCGCAAGCCUGAUCCAGCCAUACCGCGUGGGUGAAGAAGGCCUUCGGGUUGUAAAGCCCUUUUGUUGGGAAAGAAAAGCAGCAGGUUAAUACCCCGCUGUUCUGACGGUACCCAAAGAAUAAGCACCGGCUAACUUCGUG